UCAAUGUGGAGGUUGGAGGCCCUGCCUGUGGUGGGGGGUUGGAGCUUCAUGGUCGUUGAGGUCCAAUCCAACCUGGGCUGUUCUGUGAUUCUGUGAUUAUCACCCUAUAUUUAUUAUAAUGUACGUACAUCAUGUCCAUUCUUUAAGAUACAGCAUCUUUGUUUAUUUCACAGUUCUCAUUCAUCCAGAAUGGUGAAACAAAGCAUUAUCUUCCAUUCCUCAUCUGCCAUUUCAUAACCAUCCGUGUGUAUCUUUGUUUUUAGCUUAAGCAGCGGUUAAGGCUGAGUUGGGCUUUAUUUGACAUCAGCUGAUUUCAUCACAGAACGUGCUGUAGAUCAUCGCCCUGAAAACCUCCAACAAAAUGGUAAUAAGAAAGGCUUCUGCUGUGCUGCUGCUCUUUUGUUUCUUUGCCUUCAGAUACCACCCCUGCUUCUUAACUGAUCUCCUCUUCCCUUGGCUUUACUUUGGCAUAUUCCAAACGUGGGGUAUCCAGGAAUUGCCCCAGAAGAAAAAGCCUGGUUUGAGUUGGAGCAAAACCCAGCGCUCCUUCCAGAAGUAACUCAGGGUUAGGAAAAGAUCCCAUUAAAAUGAAUUAACUUCCAGGAGCCGCACUGAAUGCAUAUGAAGAUGUGCAUGUGAGGAGUGUGUUGGCCUUGUCCAAGGUCUGAAAGGUUUUUAUGGGUUGUGAGAUGUUCCAGUGCUUGGAUCAAUGCGUUUUCUUUUGGGAAGGUGUGUGUUGGGUUUUUCUUUUGUUUUGUUUCUUUGCUUGUGUUAUGUCAAUUUAAUUGUAAGCCAACAUGGCAGCCCCAGGGGAGGUGUACCUAUAUACACAAACAGGUACAAUGCUGCGUGUGCAUGGAGCAAAUGGAACCAUCCCAGGGCAGAGGAGGCCCCCGAGGAGCUGCCAAGCUGUUCAGCCAUCACUGAUAUCAGAACGGUGAUACCCACGUGGUCCAAAUGCCUCUUCUUUUGGCAUGGGCAGAAACAGAGAUGCAGGAGAUUGGCUUCAUGUGCAGAGCUGCAUCAGCUGAAGCUCACACUAGCGUGAGGCUUAGCAGGGUUUGUGCUCCGAUGCAAGUGAAACAGAGGGAAAUCUGUCUCCUAUUAUCAGAGAGCAGCCUGAGCUGGUGGGGGUCAGCCAGCCCACAGCAGGGGUUGGGACCGGGUGAUCUUUGCGAUCCCUUCCAACCCAAACUGUUCUAUUAUUGUAUGACUAAAUUAUACAUGCACACCUCAUGUCUACAUGAAACCAUCCUGGGACUUGUGGGCUGAGAUAUGAUGUGAUUUGGAUGAUGACAUCCUGACAGUGACCAAGUAGGCGAACCUGCAUCAUGAUGUUUUUGCUUCGACCUGCUGUCCCCAGCCACGGAUUGCCGUCAUAAAAGCCCAUUAAAAAUCACUUUGCUCUCUGCGAUGCUUAACUUGCUGUGUUUUCGGUUAGCCGUGCUGAACCUUGAUAAAGAGAGUGUUUUAGCUUCCAGCAGGAUAUCUGGAGUUCAGAAAUCUCCGCAGAAGAUUAAGCAAGUUAGAGAGAGAAAUUAGCCCUGAUCCCUUUCUGCCAGCAUAGGAUUAUCCUGCAGCACACCGGUUUUGAAGUUUAUGUCUAAUCCAGUUUUACACAUCCCAGGGGACUGGGCUCCUUAUGGCUUCUGCAGAGCAGUUGUGUGGUGGAGCCUCUGCUUUAGAGGUACUUACUUGGUGCCGAGAUUCAAUUUGCAUUUCCAUUACUGCAUCCCAUUUCAUCCUGUGCCAUAUACUUAAUGUCUCUGCUUUGUAGGGUAUGGCUUUCGAAGGCAUAUGGAUUGUUAUUGUUCUUGUGCUGCUUUAUAUGCUUACUGCACACGUAGCUGGGCAGUCUGAACCCCAUUCUUACAUAUAACUUGUGCUUAGGACUGGUGAACAUAUCCAUGUGUAAAAGGGCUUGUGGCAGUCAGUGGAGGAUCGUAGUGCAUCAACACAAGUGGUGUGAACCAAGGUGAGAUGAGCCGAGUGUGCAGCAAUAUUGCUAAUCAAGGCAAAGACGAGUAAAUGCUGCUGCUUUCCAGCAUGGUGCAAGGCUUAAAUGAUCAGUUUGGGAGUUUUUCUUAUGAGUUUGUAAAACCAUAAUUGUUCAUCUCUAAUAAACGUGUAUUUCCAGGCUGAAAAGCAA